rnacentral:rRNA from 1 species
AUACGGAAGGUCCGGGCGUUAUCCGGAUUUAUUGGGUUUAAAGGGAGCGCAGGCGGAGAUGCAAGCGUGACGUCAAAUUUCGGGGCUCAACCCCGUCUCGCGUCGCGAACUGCGUCCCUUGGUUGCGGGAAGGGGAGGCGGAACUCGUGGUGGAGCGGGGAAAUGCAUAGAUAUCACGAAGAACUCCGAUCGCGAAGGCAGCCUUCCGGCCCGUCAACGACGCUCAUGCUCGAAGGUGCGGGUAUCAAACAGGAUUAGAUACCCUGGUAGUCCGCACAGUAAACGAUGGACACCCGCGGUUUGGCCUGUAUGGCUGAGCCGCCAAGCGAAAGCGUUAAGUGUCCCACCUGGGGAGUACGCCGGCAACGGUGAAACUUAAAGGAAUUGACGGGG